AUGUUGCGUGCUUAUUUGCUCCCUGACGCUGAUGAGAUUUACUACUUAAGUUUUGAAAUUUGGUAUUGAAUGACCAGGCAUUUUUCGUUACUCGAUACUAUGGAGGCAAUUUGGUCU